rnacentral:rRNA from 1 species
UACGAAGGGGGCUAGCGUUGCUCGGAAUGACUGGGCGUAAAGGGCGCGUAGGCGGCUUGCACAGUCAGGCGUGAAAUUCCUGGGCUCAACCUGGGGACUGCGCUUGAGACGUGUGGGCUUGAGUGGGGAAGAGGGUCGUGGAAUUCCCAGUGUAGAGGUGAAAUUCGUAGAUAUUGGGAAGAACACCGGUGGCGAAGGCGGCGACCUGGUCCUUGACUGAACGCUGGAGGCGACGGAAAGCGUGGGGAGCAAACAGG